rnacentral:rRNA from 1 species
ACAGAGGGUGCAAACGUUGUUCGGAAUUACUGGGCGUAAAGCGCGUGUAGGCGGCCAGGCAAGUCGGGUGUGAAAGCCCUGGGCUCAACCCAGGAAGUGCAUUCGAUACUGCCUAGCUAGAGUCCCGGAGAGGAUGGUGGAACUCUCGGUGUAGAGGUGAAAUUCGUAGAUAUCGAGAAGAACACCGGUGGCGAAGGCGGCCAUCUGGACGGUGACUGACGCUGAGACGCGAAAGCGUGGGGAGCAAACA